rnacentral:lncRNA from 1 species
UCAUAAAAAUUCAUAAUUUAUUCUGAUACUUUGCCCUCCAUACAUAAGUCUCAAGAUUUGCUCAGUUUCCAUAAUACAUAAACAAACUGCCAGCCAGAAAAUGAACAAAAAGCAAGCUUUUCACACUAUUAAAUCAGUUAGUAAAUUUCUGCUAGAGAAGCCUCUCAGGCCCCGGUAAGCUCUAUGGUCUGGCUGUCUAGAAUGCUAUAUGCUUGUUCACAGAAGCAUGCACCAAACAAACUGGGAAUUAAAGUAACACAUGUGAAGCAUUGACAACUUUCCCCUUGCAAGAAGCAUCUGUUAUGGGGGGACUUCAACCGCCCAGAUAUUUGUUGGAGGGAUAACAUGACCCAGGGCACACAGUCAAGGAAAUUCCCGCAGAUCACUGAAGGUAACAUUUUGAUAGAAGUGGUGGAGGAGCCAGUGAGGAAAGGUGUGUUGCUAGACCUUGUACUUUCAAACCAGGAAGGACUGGUUGAAGAUGUAAAGGUUGGGGGCAGCCUUGGCUGUAGCGAUCAUGAGAUGGUGGAACUCGGGAUCCUGCACGUGGGAAGCAAAACAGUAAGCAGGACUAGAACCCUAAACUUCUGGAGAGCUAACUUAGGCUCUUCAAAGACCUGCUUAGUAGAAUCCUAUGGGUUCUAGAAGAGACGGGAGUCCGAGAAAGCUGGUCAGUAUUUAAGCACCGCUUCCUCCAGGCCCAAGACCAGUGUAUCCCCAUGGUGAAAAAAAUCAAGGAAAGGGGGCAGGAGACCUGCAUGGAUGAGCAGGGAGCUCCUAGCACCCCUGCCUUGGCAGCGGGGCUGGACUAGAUGAUCACGAGAGGUCCCUUACAACCCUAAUGAUUCUGUGACAUUCCAUAUGCUGCAUUAUCAUCAAAAGAAUGAGCUGCCUUAGCAGAGGGACUGGGUUAUGCUCAUUUACACAGCCAAGAACUGUUACACAUAAUGUACUCACAGGUGUCACUUGAAAUGCACUUGAAUCCUAGUGCAUUUCCCCUAGUUUCUUUCCAAAGUUUUGUUUUUAGAAAGCUUCUCAAAAAUUCACUCUGCUCUUACCGUUUUUUAGGUAAUUAUGGGAGUUCUGCAUCGGCAGAAUAUAAUACUCUGUGUUGUUCACUUUGACUUAGCUACCAAAUAAGCCUAAAAAUCAGCCUGGAUAAAACUUGGUCAUGGAAGAAAAUACAUAAAGAUUAACUGCUGCAUAAAAAGAAAAUAAAAAGAAA